rnacentral:rRNA from 1 species
AUUGAACGCUGGCGGCAUGCCUUACACAUGCAAGUCGAACGGUAACGGGCCUUCGGGUGCCGACGAGUGGCGAACGGGUGAGUAAUACAUCGGAACGUGCCCGAUCGUGGGGGAUAACGAGGCGAAAGCUUUGCUAAUACCGCAUACGAUCUACGGAUGAAAGCCGGGGACCGCAAGGCCUUGCGCGGACGGAGCGGCCGAUGGCAGAUUAGGUAGUUGGUGGGAUAAAAGCUUACCAAGCCGACGAUCUGUAGCUGGUCUGAGAGGAUGAUCAGCCACACUGGGACUGAGACACGGCCCAGACUCCUACGGCAGGCAGCAGUGGGGAAUUUUGGACAAUGGGCGCAAGCCUGAUCCAGCCAUGCCGCGUGCAGGAUGAAGGCCUUCGGGUUGUAAACUGCUUUUGUACGGAACGAAAAGCCUUCUUUUAAUACAGGAGGGUCAUGACGGUACCGUAAGAAUAAGCACCGGCUAACUACGUG